UACGUAGGGGGCAAGCGUUGUCCGGAAUCAUUGGGCGUAAAGCGCGCGUAGGCGGCUCGAUCAGUCUGUUGUGAAAGUCAAAGGCUCAACCUUUGAAUGCCGAUGGAUACUGUCGAGCUAGAGUCCGGAAGAGGCGAGUGGAAUUCCUGGUGUAGCGGUGGAAUGCGCAGAUAUCAGGAGGAACACCAACGGCGAAGGCAGCUCGCUGGGACGGUACUGACGCUAAGGCGCGAAAGCGUGGGGAGCGAACAGG
rnacentral:rRNA from 1 species